rnacentral:siRNA from 1 species
GGUGCAGAUAAAGAUAAAGUGUGA